GGCACAGCCGUGUGGCGCGUUGGACACACCCCAUCCCUCGAACUUGGAAGUUAAGCAACAUGCAGUCCGGACAGUUCUUGGAUGGGAGACCACCCAAGGACAAUCAGAUGCUGUAGCCG
rnacentral:rRNA from 1 species